rnacentral:rRNA from 1 species
UACGGGGGGAGCAAGCGUUGUUCGGAUUUACUGGGCGUAAAGGGCGCGUAGGCGGCCACUGCAAGUCGGUUGUGAAAUCUCCGGGCUUAACCCGGAAAGGUCAAUCGAUACUGCAGGGCUAGAGUGCGGAAGGGGCAACUGGAAUUCUCGGUGUAGCGGUGAAAUGCGUAGAUAUCAGGAGGAACACCGGUGGCGAAGGCAGCCUUCUGGGCCAACACUGACGCUCAUGCACGAAAGCGUGGGGAGCAAACAGG